GUGAGGAAUAUUGGACAAUGGGCGCAAGCCUGAUCCAGCCAUGCCGCGUGCAGGAAGACGCAUCUAUGGUGUGUAAAUUGCUUUUGUACGGGAAGAAACACUCCCUCGUGAGGGAGCUUGACGGUACCGUAAGAAUAAGGAUCGGCUAACUCCGUGCCAGCAGCCGCGGUAAUACGGAGGAUCCAAGCGUUAUCCGGAAUCAUUGGGUUUCAAGGGUCCGUAGGCGGUUUAAUAAGUCAGUGGUGAAAGCCCAUCGCUCAACGAUGGAACGGCCAUUGAUACUGGUAGACUUGAAUUACAAGGAAGUAACUAGAAUAUGUAGUGUAGCGGUGAAAUGCUUAGAUAUUACAUGGAAUACCAAUUGCGAAGGCAGGUUACUACUUGUGGAUUGACGCUGAUGGACGAAAGCGUGGGGAGCGAACAGGAUUAGAAACCCUUGUAGUCC
rnacentral:rRNA from 1 species